rnacentral:misc_RNA from 1 species
AAGUCGUAACAAGGUUUCCGUAGGUGAACCUGCGGAAGGAUCAUUAUUGAAUUCCACUUGGGUGAGAUUGCUGCUGGCCUCUGGGCAUGUGCACGUCUCUCUCAUUUACCUCUCACCUCUGUGCACUUCUCACAGGACAGCUCGUGGCCUCUGGCUGCAGGCUGCUUCUGUGUACUUUACAAACUUUUAAUUAUGGUUAAGAAUGUUUCUGUGUAUCCACACAAUGAAAUACAACUUUCAGCAACGGAUCUCUUGGCUCUC